GAUGAACGCUGGCGGCGUGCCUAAUACAUGCAAGUCGAGCGAACGGACGAGAAGCUUGCUUUUCUGAUGUUAGCGGCGGACGGGUGAGUAACACGCGGAUAACCUACCUAUAAGACUGGGAUAACUUCGGGAAACCGGAGCUAAUACCGGAUAAUAUUUUGAACCGCAUGGUUCAAAAGUGAAAGACGGUCUUGCUGUCACUUAUAGAUGGAUCCGCGCUGCAUUAGCUAGUUGGUAAGGUAACGGCUUACCAAGGCAACGAUGCAUAGCCGACCUGAGAGGGUGAUCGGCCACACUGGAGCUGAGACACGGUCCAGACUCCUACGGGAGGCAGCAGUAGGGAAUCUUCCGCAAUGGGCGAAAGCCUGACGGAGCAACGCCGCGUGAGUGAUGAAGGUCUUCGGAUCGUAAAACUCUGUUAUUAGGGAAGAACAUAUGUGUAAGUAACUGUGCACAUCUUGACGGUACCUAAUCAGAAAGCCACGGCUAACUACGUG
rnacentral:rRNA from 1 species